rnacentral:tRNA from 1 species
UACUAAAUAGCUUAAUUCAGAGCGUCACGUUGAAGCCGUGAAUGUAAUAAAAUUUUUAGUAA